rnacentral:rRNA from 1 species
AGCGGCGGACGGGUGAGUAACGCGUGGGUAACCUGCCUCAUACAGGGGGAUAACAGUUAGAAAUGACUGCUAAUACCGCAUAAGACCACGGUACCGCAUGGUACAGUGGUAAAAACUCCGGUGGUAUGAGAUGGACCCGCGUCUGAUUAGGUAGUUGGUGGGGUAACGGCCUACCAAGCCGACGAUCAGUAGCCGACCUGAGAGGGUGACCGGCCACAUUGGGACUGAGACACGGCCCAG